GACGAACGCUGGCGGCGUGCUUAACACAUGCAAGUCGAGCGGUAAGGCCCUUUCGGGGGUACACGAGCGGCGAACGGGUGAGUAACACGUGGGUGACCUGCCCUUAGCUCUGGGAUAAGCCUGGGAAACUGGGUCUAAUACCGGAUAUGACUCCAUGACGCAUGUUGUGGGGUGGAAAGCCUUGUGCGGCUAGGGAUGGGCCCGCGGCCUAUCAGCUUGUUGGUGGGGUGAUGGCCUACCAAGGCGACGACGGGUAGCCGGCCUGAGAGGGCGACCGGCCACACUGGGACUGAGACACGGCCCAGACUCCGUACGGGGGGC
rnacentral:rRNA from 1 species